GCACGCAGUAGAAUUUAUGCAUUUCACAUACUGCUGCCAGCUGUUCUGUACUAAUUAAUGUAUGUUAAAUUUCAUUUUCCCAGAACAACGUUUGGAAUCAGUUGAUCCAGUUUGAGCUCCUGUGAUCAAACCAUAAUAUUUGUCGUCAUUAUUUUUUGAAGUGGACGCAGGAGUAUUCCGGAUGAACUUCAAGACUGACGUGUUCAGCAUCUAAAAUGCGUUCCAGUGGGUCCUGAUAAUUACCGGGGUGAUUGGCGCAUUCAUCUUCUACUUCAAGUACAAGAGGCUGAAGCCCCUGAAGAGUAUAAGCUCUUAGUAGGACGGAUUCAACCUUCUAUUUGCUUGUUAAGCAGACGCGUGCUGAUUGACUAUUCAACAUUAGCUUGCAGUUCACUAUCAGAGCCAAAAUGAAGUUGCAAUUCACUGGCUUAGUCCUUCUCAUGAGGCAGUACCUGGAAGUAUUCUGGCAGCUGUGAAUCGAGUGCGAGGUCUUCCUUAGACAUGCCAAAGAGACACAUGCGACCAAAUGAGGCCACCGCCACGCCUUGCCGCGGGCGGUUUGAUGAUGGCGGUGGUCACAUAGUGCGUGCCGAGCAACGGCAGUGAGUAUAGGAAGCAACAUUUGUACAUGCCCCAUUCCAGAAUAUGCAGAGAAGAUGGUCACUGCAAUUGAUGAAGAACGAGUUGAUGGAAAUUAGAUUGGUGGAGCGGCCACAUGUAUUGCGAGAAAUGUUCCUCGUGUAGGUACUACCAUGUUAUGUUCAUUUUGGUGUGUUCCAGCAUAAUAAACCAAAAAAGGCCCCCUCUAUUUUUUUCUAAUCGUGAGCAUGGUUUGGGCUACAUCAUAUAUAGUAACACAAUGACUUUGGAUUCCCGGUAUAAUUUAUAGGCCUCACACUUCUUUUGCUAUGACCCAUUGAA